rnacentral:rRNA from 1 species
UACGUAGGGUGCAAGCGUUGUCCGGAAUUAUUGGGCGUAAAGAGCUCGUAGGCGGUUUGUCGCGUCGGCUGUGAAAUCCCGAGGCUCAACCUCGGGCCUGCAGUCGAUACGGGCAAACUAGAGUGUGGUAGGGGAGACUGGAAUUCCUGGUGUAGCGGUGAAAUGCGCAGAUAUCAGGAGGAACACCGGCGGCGAAGGCGGGUCUCUGGGCCAUAACUGACGCUGAGGAGCGAAAGCUAGGGGAGCGAAUGGG